AUUGAACGCUGGCGGAAUGCUUUACACAUGCAAGUCGAACGGCAGCACGGACUUCGGUCUGGUGGCGAGUGGCGAACGGGUGAGUAACAUAUCGGAACGUAUCCAAUAAUGGGGGAUAACGAGUCGAAAGAUUCGCUAAUACCGCAUACGCCCUACGGGGGAAAGCUGGGGACCUUCGGGCCUGGCGUUAGUGGAGCGGCCGAUAUCUGAUUAGCUAGUUGGUGAGGUAAAGGCUCACCAAGGCGACGAUCAGUAGCUGGUCUGAGAGGACGACCAGCCACACUGGAACUGAGACACGGUCCAGACUCCUACGGGAGGCAGCAGUGGGGAAUUUUGGACAAUGGGCGCAAGCCUGAUCCAGCCAUUCCGCGUGAGUGAAGAAGGCCUUCGGGUUGUAAAGCUCUUUCGCAAGGGAAGAAAACUUAGCCACUAACAUUGGUUGAGGUUGACGGUACCUUGAUAAGAAGCACCGGCUAACUACGUGCCAGCCGCCGCAGUAA
rnacentral:rRNA from 1 species